CAAGAUUUAACAUAAAUAAUGUGUCUCACUUACAUUGAGAAAAUGGUUUGUAUAAAUCAAUCUUGA
rnacentral:tRNA from 1 species